GGCUGUAGCUUCGUGGUAGAGCAUCUGCUUUGCAUGCAGAAGGUCCCAGGUUCAAUCCCCAGCAGAGUCG
rnacentral:tRNA from 1 species